UCCAUGGUGGUCCAGUGGUUAAGACUCUGCACUUCCACUGCAGUGGUUGUGGGUUCAAUCCCUAAUCUAGGAA
rnacentral:tRNA from 1 species